rnacentral:rRNA from 1 species
UACGGGGGGAGCAAGCGUUGUUCGGAUUUACUGGGCGUAAAGGGCGCGUAGGCGGCGCAACAAGUCACUUGUGAAAUCCCCGGGCUUAACCUGGGAACUGCGCUUCUAACUGGCAGGCUUGAGUGUGGCAGAGGGGGGUGGAAUUCCCAGUGUAGAGGUGAAAUUCGUAGAUAUUGGGAAGAACACCGGUGGCGAAGGCGGCGACCUGGUCCGUGACUGACGCUGAGGCGCGAAAGCGUGGGGAGUAAACAGG